GACAAGAUACAUUUAUGCACGAUAGCGCACGCGCGCAGCCGGUUUGGGUUCGGUGUAAGGCACUACAUCUCAGUGCUAGAGGCGUCACGACAGUUCGAAUCCAGCUGUGAUUGGGGGUCCCAUAGGGUGGCGCACAAUACGCUCAAUGUCGUCCGGGUUUGGCCGUCAUUGUAAAUAAGAAUUUGUUCUUAAUUGACUUGCCUAGGGAAAAAAAGAAAGAAGCUUGUGUUGACAUCGGCAAAUGCUUUUUUUGACAUUGCACAUUUUAUUCAGGCAGAAAAAUGUAUGUAAACGGAGCUCAAUUGAUUUCAUUGUUACUGUCAAUGACUACUAUCAACAAGGAUCCCUCAUUAUCUUAUUUUACUACGUGUAAUAAUGCUGUUCUGUAAUAACUUGUACACCCAUCCCCCACGUCGACAUACUUCGCCCACAUUCUUCUCUGCAAUGGGGCCUAGACUGGGCAUGCGUUGAUUUUCCAGUAGUUCAUGGGGGAUGAACGUGUAGGGGGGGGGGCGCUCUUGUAUCACGGUUGCUGUAGUGAAGGCCGUUCCUUGGUGAUACAAUCAGACGAGAAGUGGGGGUGGCGAGAGAAAAAAAGCUAACAGGCUUGGUCGCUCUUUGUUUCUGGCUAGCGUUGGAAAUUGAAGGGACCUAUCGGCGAAGGGUGAUUUCAAUAGUGGUGCUUGGUGCUGUCACAUUCUCAGACUCAGCUGAGAGAUGUCCACCCCAGACCCUCCCAUGGGAGGGACGCCUCGGCCGGGCCCCUCCCCAGGACCGGGGCCUUCUCCAGGAGCAAUGAUGGGCCCCAGCCCUUCCCCGGGCUCUGCUCAUAGCAUGAUGGGACCCAGCCCAGGUCCCCCAGCCUCUGUGCACUCUCACCCACAACAGGGGCCCUCAGGAUAUCCUCAGGAGAAUAUGCAUCAGAUGCACAAACCUAUGGAAGGCAUGCAUGAGAAGGGCAUGUCUGAUGACCCUCGCUAUGGACCGAUGAAGAGCAUGGGCAUGAGACCAGGUGGAGGCCACAUUGGAAUGGGACCCCCUCCUAGCCCCAUGGACCAACAUUCCCAAGGCUACCCCUCUCCACUGGGGGGGUUCUGAGCACUCUCCCAGCCCUGUGCCAGCCAACGGCCCUCCCGCUGGCCCCAUGUUGCCCUCUGGCCCAGGUGUCCCCAUGGAGGGAGGUGACCCCCAGGCCAUGGGCCAGCAGAACCGCGUUGGGGUCGCAGGUCCGAGUGGUGGUUCUGGGCCAGGCGGUGUUGGGCCAGGUGGACCCACCCCCUUCAACCAAAACCAGCUACACCAGCUCAGGGCCCAGAUCAUGGCCUACAAGAUGCUGUCUCGCAGCCAGCCCCUGCCAGACCACCUGCAGAUGGCCGUGCAGGGCAAGAGGCCCAUGCCAGGGAUGCAGCAGCAGCCAGGGAUGCCCAACAUGCCCCCUUCCUCAGGGCCUGGAGCGGGGCCUGGACAGCCACCAGCAAACUACAACAGACCUCAUGGAAUGGUAGGCCCAAACAUGCCUCCUCCAGGACCCUCAGGUGUUCCCCCUGGUAUGCAGGGCCAGCCCACCAAUGGACCCCCUAAACAAUGGCCCGAAGGGCCCAUGGUGAAUGCUGCUGCUCCAUCCAGUGCCCCCCAGAAGCUGAUUCCCCCUCAGCCCACUGGGAGACCCUCCCCUGCUCCCCCCUCCGUGCCCCCUGCUGCCUCCCGGUCAUGCCCCCCAGACCCAGUCCCCCGGGCAGCCCCCCAGCCCCCACCCAUGGUGCUGCACCAGAAACAGAACCGCAUCACGCCUAUCCAGAAGCCCCGUGGCCUGGACCCAGUGGAGAUCCUCCAGGAGAGAGAGUACAGGCUGCAGGCUCGUAUCACUCACCGUAUCCAGGAGCUGGAGCAUCUACCAGGGUCUCUGGCCGGAGACCUGCGCACCAAAGCCAACAUCGAGCUAAAGGCCCUGAGGCUGCUAAAUUUCCAGAGACAGCUGCGUCAGGAGGUAGUGGUGUGUAUGCGUCGUGACACGGCCCUGGAGACGGCCCUCAACGCUAAGGCCUACAAGCGCAGCAAGCGGCAGUCCCUCCGUGAGGCCCGCAUCACAGAGAAACUGGAGAAGCAACAAAAGAUUGAACAGGAGCGCAAACGACGCCAGAAACACCAGGAAUACCUUAACAGCAUCCUGCAGCAUGCUAAAGACUUCAAGGAGUACCACCGCUCCAUCACAGCCAAGCUCCAGAAGGCCACAAAAGCUGUGGCCACAUACCACGCCAACACUGAGCGCGAGCAGAAGAAGGAGAACGAGCGCAUUGAGAAGGAGAGAAUGAGGAGGCUGAUGGCGGAAGAUGAGGAGGGCUACCGUAAGCUGAUUGACCAGAAGAAAGACAAGCGCCUGGCCUACCUGCUGCAGCAGACAGACGAGUACGUGGCCAACCUCACCGAUCUGGUCAGAGCCCACAAGGCUGAUCAGGCCCUCAAGGAUAAGAAGAAGAAGAAAAAGAAGAAGAAGAAGAAGAAGCCAGAGAGUGGGGAGGGCCAGCCUCUUGCCCUGGGACCCGACGGAGAGCCUCUGGAUGAGACCAGUCAGAUGAGUGACCUGCCUGUGAAGGUGAUUCAUGUAGACAGUGGGAAGAUCCUGACGGGGCUGGAUGCGCCCCGGGCUGGCCAGCUGGACACCUGGCUGGAGAUGAACCCUGGGUAUGAAGUGGCCCCUCGUUCAGACAGCGAGGACAGUGGCUCAGAGGAAGAGGAGGAGGAAGAGGUGGAGCCCCAGCCCUCCCAGGCUCCCACCGAGGAGAAAAAGAAGAUCCCAGACCCCGACACAGAGGACGUGUCCGAGGUCGACGUCCGCUACAUCAUCGAAGGGGCCAAGCAGGAUGUGGAUGAUGAGUAUAACAGUGCCGAGGCGGCGUUCGCCCGAGGCCUGCAGUCUUACUAUGCUGUGGCCCACGCCGUCACUGAGACGGUGGACAAACAGUCCACGCUGCUGGUCAACGGGCAGCUCAAACAUUACCAGAUCAAGGGCUUGGAGUGGCUGGUGUCUCUGUACAACAACAACCUGAAUGGGAUCCUGGCUGAUGAGAUGGGUCUGGGCAAGACCAUCCAGACCAUCGGCCUCAUCACCUACCUCAUGGAGCACAAGCGCAUCAACGGCCCCUUCCUCAUCAUCGUGCCCCUCUCAACUCUGUCCAACUGGGUGUAUGAGUUUGAUAAGUGGGCUCCAACGGUGGUGAAAGUCUCUUACAAAGGCUCCCCACAGGCUCGCCGGGCAUUCCUCCCCAUCCUGCGCAGCGGCAAGUUCAACGUACUGCUCACCACCUACGAGUACAUCAUCAAAGACAAGCAAGUGCUGGCUAAGCUGCGAUGGAAGUACAUGAUAGUGGACGAGGGCCACCGUAUGAAAAACCACCACUGUAAGCUGACUGUGGUUCUGAACACCCACUACCUGGCCCCGCGGCGUCUGCUGCUGACCGGCACCCCGCUGCAGAACAAGCUGCCGGAGCUCUGGGCCCUGCUCAACUUCCUGCUGCCGACCAUCUUCAAGUCCUGCACUACCUUCGAGCAGUGGUUCAACGCCCCCUUCGCCAUGACCGGAGAGAAGGUGGAUCUGAACGAGGAAGAGACCAUCCUGAUUAUCCGUCGUUUGCACAAAGUGCUCCGCCCCUUCCUGCUGCGCAGACUGAAAAAGGAGGUGGAGUCCCAGCUGCCUGAGAAGGUGGAGUAUGUGAUCAAGUGUGACAUGUCGGCCCUGCAGAGAGUGCUGUACAGACACAUGCAGGCUAAGGGUGUGCUGCUCACCGACGGCUCUGAGAAAGACAAGAAGGGUAAAGGAGGCACCAAGACCCUGAUGAACACCAUCAUGCAGCUGAGGAAGAUCUGUAACCAUCCCUACAUGUUCCAGCAGAUCGAGGAGUCCUUCUCUGAGCAUUUGGGAUUCACUGGGGGCGUAGUGUCUGGACCUGACCUGUACCGCGCCGCUGGGAAGUUUGAGCUGCUUGACCGUAUCCUGCCCAAGCUGAUGGUCACCGGCCACAAGGUCCUGCUCUUCUGUCAGAUGACUUCCACCAUGACCAUCAUGGAGGACUACUUUGGCUGGCGCAACUUUAAGUACCUGCGUCUGGACGGAACCACUAAGGCUGAGGAUCGUGGGAUGCUUUUGAAGACCUUCAAUGACCCCGCCUCUCAGUACUUUGUGUUCCUGCUCAGCACCAGGGCCGGCGGGCUGGGCCUCAACCUUCAGUCUGCUGACACUGUGGUCAUCUUUGACUCAGACUGGAACCCACAUCAGGAUCUGCAGGCCCAGGACAGAGCCCACCGUAUCGGGCAGCGGAACGAGGUGCGUGUGUUGCGUCUCUGCACCGUUCAAAGUGUGGAGGAGAAGAUCCUGGCGGCGGCCAAGUACAAGCUGAACGUGGACCAGAAGGUCAUCCAGGCCGGCAUGUUCGACCAGAAGUCGUCAAGUCACGAGCGCCGUGCCUUCCUGCAGGCCAUCCUGGAGCAUGAGGAACAAGACGAGGUCGGGGCCCCGGGGGGCUGGCGCGCUGGGGGGGCGUUGGAGGAGGACGAGGUGCCCGAUGAUGAGACCGUCAACCAGAUGAUUGCCAGGAGCGAGGAGGAGUUUGACCAGUUCAUGCGUAUGGACCUGGACCGGCGCCGCGAGGACGCCCGCAACCCCAAGAGAAAGCCCCGUCUGAUGGAGGAUGACGAGCUGCCCACCUGGAUCCUAAAGGAUGAUGCCGAGGUGGAGAGGCUCACCUGUGAGGAGGAGGAGGAGAAGAUGUUUGGUCGCGGCUCUCGCCAGCGCAAGGAGGUGGACUACAGCGACUCACUCACAGAGAAGCAGUGGCUCAAGGCCAUAGAGGACGGUAAUCUGGAGGACCUCGAGGAGGAAGUGCGUCACAAGAAGACGACCCGGAAGCGCAAGCGAGACCGCGACGACAUGCCCGGCCCGGCCACACCCAGCUCCAGUGGCGGUGGUCGCAGCCGUGACAAGGACGAGGAGGUCAAGAAGGCCAAGAAACGCGGGCGCCCUCCGGCUGAAAAACUGUCCCCUAACCCCCCAUCCCUCACCAAGAAGAUGAAGAAGGUGGUGGACACUGUCAUCAAGUACAAGGACGGCAGCAAUGGGCGCCAGCUGAGUGAAGUCUUCAUCCAGCUGCCCUCCCGCAAGGAGCUGCCUGAGUACUACGAGCUCAUCCGCAAGCCUGUCGACUUCAGGAAGAUUAAGGAGAGGAUCCGCAGCCAUAAGUACCGCAGCCUGAAUGACCUGGAGAAGGAUGUGAUGCUGCUGUGUAGUAACGCUCAGACCUUCAACCUGGAGGGCUCUCUGAUCUAUGAGGACUCCAUCGUACUGCAGUCAGUCUUCACCAGUGUCAGGCAGAAGAUUGAAAAGGAGAAGGAGGAGGAGAGUGAGGGAGAGGACAGUGAGGAGGAAGAAGAGGAGGAGGUGGACGAAGGCUCUGAGUCUGAAUCUCGUUCAGUGAAGGUGAAGAUUAAGCUGGGGAGGAAGGAGAAGGAGGGCAGAGGGAAGGGCCAGCGCCGGAGGGGCCGUGGCUCCCGGGCCAAACCUGUAGUGAGCGACGACGACAGCGAGGAGGAACAGGAGGAGGCGGGUUCGGCCAGCGGCAGUGAGGAGAACUGAACUGAACCACUCCUGUUCUGCGAGGACCAACGGCCCACUGAGACCCUCGACUGGAACUUAUAUAUUUUACCUAGAUUCUAUAGCAGGGAGACAAGCCAGUGGAGAGGGGCCUAGUUUUAGCUAGAUGAGCUGAUUUUUAGUGAGACAAAUGUAUUCCAUAAUUAAAAUACACCAUCAAUUAAAACAUUUAAAAAAUGAUAGCAAAAAAAAACCCACUUACAUAUUUAAGCAAUCCUGGUAUGAAUAGCUGGACUGUAUGUCUUUUUGCCUUGUUGUUUUCUCCUGAAAGUGAUUUAAGGUGGACAGAGUUUGAUUAGCAGACUGAUCGUGGACCACAGGGAGAGAGUGCUGACUUUUUAAGCGAGUUUGUUUUGUCGUUUUGUUUCCUUUGAGAUGGAGCUGUGUGACCGGAGUCGCUGUGGUUUCUUAAGUCCCUUGAAUGCAUGUCGUUUGGUCUGUGGAAAUGCACCUGGGUGUGUCGUUCUAUUAUAUCUCUGUUUAAUUUAAGAAUACAAGUGAGAUAAACGGUACGUUCCCCCUUAGGCCUUCCUCCGGCUACAAGUGAGAAGGGAAGGGCGGGACUCUGUCUCGCGUCUGUGUCACUGGAUUCCAAAAAGUACAAUAAAGGUGUCUCGUAAAUUAAA